GCCGAAUCAUCAGCGGUGAACACAGUAUGUGGUACACACCUCUAUAUUGGAUUGAGGGUAGGAGGGACGCCCCUCUAUGCAGACAUCAUUGUCCUGUACCGGUAUAAGCCUGUGUGAUGAACAAUUGGAUUACACUGUACUAUGUUGAGUGUAUGAGAGAGAGCUGCACUCUCUAAUAAUGUAUCUGAAUUCUGUGUUGGCAUCCGGCUGAUAUCAUGAGUGGGCCGCACCCGUUAAUAGCAAAAAUUAGAGUCUACAUCCGUGUCCUUUUCCUUCUAUAAGAGUGUGUCACACUCAAAGUAUCAGCCCGAUACUGUAUCCCUCUCAGUAUCGGGCUGAGGUUGAAGGAGGGCCACGCCCUCUAAUAAUGAAGCAGUGUCCGGUUCAGUAUAUGAGAGGGGUUCACUCUCUACUUGUGUAAAUAAAGUAUCGGUGUCAGGUCGAGGAGAUGGAGGGCCGCACCCUCUAGUAAUCCAAACUAGAGUCCAUCUCAGACCCAGGGUGACCCUGCGGGAUUCACCAUCUAAUAACAAUAGCGUAGGACUUGGAUCUCGAGGAGGGUCCCUCUCUGGCCACGAGACCUUUCUCUGAAUCCCUCACCUGAGAGGUGGGAUCCACUGGUAAUAAACCAGACUGAAGGUAGACGGAGGAGUAUACCACCUCGGGCCGUGUCCAUCUUAACUAAUAAAAAUGGGCAAUGAGAGAAAGUAACCUUUGGAAACAAUGACAGACUACCAACGGACCGCCCGGAUCCUGUGCAUGUGCAAGGGAUCCAGGAAGACGGUCGGCAGUCUGAGGAAAGCUGGAGACGUUCUCCGCAAUCCACGAGGGCCCGGGAGGUCGGAGGAGGUCUUAAGUCAGACCCCUCGAUGACCCGAGCGAUAGGAAAAAGGAAGGUAAGAAAAAUAAAACAAAAUAAAAGUAAAUAAGGGUAAAUACGUACCUUGGAUAAGGUAAGUAGCAGGCCGGAAGAACCCGUCAAGAAAGUCCGACUGAACAGGACCAGGAACUAACCUGAUGCAGGAAAAACUAAUAAUAUCUAAGAUGGAUACCGGAAUGCAGUAGAGGGUUAGUUGCUAAAGACAAGGGAAGACCGUGUCCCCCUGUUAGGGUCUGAGUACUGGUCCCUGUCUGACUGAAAUUCUCCACGGGGCUGUGCCUGCGUCAGGCUGGUGUAAACCGUGGUUGCGUGCCCAGGUCUUCAUAAAAACCUUGCCCUUCGGGCAUGAGGUUUUAGGGCCUUCACCCUUCACACCAUACUCAGAUGGUCUUAUACUGGUGUCCUCUUGGACAAUAUGACAGUUGUGCUUGCCUGGGCAUCCACCUAUCUCCAUGUCACUGGGUGUAACGGAUCACCUGGCACCCUGACUGGGUACCUCCGUUGAAGGAUGCUCCUAGCGCUUCCUGAGGACUCCAAGCACUGCAGCAGACACCACAACCACCGAACCGGAGAAGAAUACGAAUGCUUUCAAGCAUAUGAAUGCUGUAAGCAGCUGAACAGGAAAAGCAUACAAUCAGCUUAUACUCCUGGCAAUCAGCAUACAAUCCAAUUCCCCCCAAGAACGAGACAACACUUCGUUUUGAGGUCAAGCAGAACUGACUGUACUGGCACAUACAGCCUCUUUUAUUCACAAUCCACAAACAUAGCACUGCCCACAGGGUUUUGAAACACAGCCAAUCAAUCCGUACAAUACACACAGACACUCCCACACAAAAUCCUCCCCUCUGCACAAAAAUACAGCACCAUAAAACAUAUCACAGGGACCCCAAAACAUGCAACAACCCCACAUAUCCAAAAUUCACCCAGAUCCGUUCAGUACUUUGGAAGAUACAGUUUAAUGCAGAUUCCACAGAACAUAUGCAGGCUAUAUGAAAAACAAUUACUGUACAAUGUGUCCCCUGUUGUAUAGUCUAAAACCACUGCACGAUGUCUCUGCGCACCAAAUACCGGCGAGAUGGCACCGUGUUGAAAAGUCCAAACAGUGUCUGUGAGUUAAAAUGGCCGCCAUCCAUUGUCCUCACCAUGUUCUUCAUCCGUUGUUCUCACCAUGUGCCUCUGAUACAGGAAAUGGUGGCCACCCAGUAACUUCACAGUAUGUCCCCAGAUGGUUCUUAAAGGGCCAACAGCAGCACAACACAAAUCCAUUAUGCCCAAAUCAUGUCUUUAAGUCUUCUCCAAUGCCCAGUGGCGAGGUCGGUUUCGCCACACUGGGUUUUCCUCAGUGAUAUUCCCCCAGGCCUGCAGCCAAAGGGGUUUCGGCACCGAUGGAUCAAGCCAACAAGAGCCAACAAGAGCAGGCCCAGCAGAAGAUCACAGGCCUAGCAGGCCAAUCAAAUGGGCACAGACAUAGCGGGCCAAUCGAAGGGGUACAGACAUAGCAGGCCAAUCAAUGGGGCACAGACAUAGCAUGCCAAUCAAUGGGGAACAGACAGACGGCCAAUCAAUGGGGCACAGACAUAGACGGCCAAUCAAUGGGGCACAGGCCAAACAAUGGGGCACAGACAUAGCAGGCCAAACAAUGGGGCACAGACAUAGACGGCCAAUCAAUGGGGCACAGACAUAGAUGGCCAAUCAAUGGGGCACAGACAUAGCAGACCAAUCAAUGGGGCACAGACAUAGCAGGCCAAACAAUGGGGCACAGACAUAGCAGGCCAAACAAUGGGGCACAGACAUAGCAGGCCAAUCAAUCGGGCACAGACAUAGCAGGCCAAACAAUGGGGCACAGACAUAGCAGGCCAAACAAUGGGGCACAGACAUAGCAGGCCAAUCAAUGGGGCACAGACAUAGCAGGCCAAACAAUGGGGCACAGACAUAGCAGGCCAAUCAAUGGAGCACAGACAUAGCAGGCCAAUCAAUGGGGCACAGACAUAGCAGGCCAAACAAUGGGGCACAGACAUAGCAGGCCAAACAAUGGUGCACAGACAUAGCAGGCCAAUCAAUGGGGCACAGACAUAGCAGGCCAAACAAUGGGGCACAGACAUAGCAGGCCCGUGAUAGGGGCAUAGACAGAGCCGAUCGUACACGUGUGUACACGUAAGGCCCAUCUGUGUGAGUAGAGUCCCUUAUAUAUAAGUGCCAUGAAAUAGGAAAACUUGGGUGGAAACUUUAAUAUGCAAAACCCACUAGCAGUGUAGAAUGUGUUUAUAACAGUAUUUCACAUAAUACCUCUGGAUUAAGUGCUAUUAUGUCUCCAGUCUAAUAUAACAGAUGUAUCAGCCGCUGGUGCUGAAUAUUCCAUAACACUAUACAGGGAACUGGCAGAUCUGUAAUGUUUAGUCAAAGACAGAGGUAUCCAAACUGCAGGAACCUCAG